CUAAAGACUUGAGUCUUAAAUUCUGUAUGGCAUCACUUACAUGUAGAAUCUAAAAAAUAAAACAAACUAGUGAAUAUAGCAAAAAAGGAAACAGACUCACAGAUACAAAGAACUAACUAGUGGUUACCAGUGGGGUGGGGGGUGCAAUAUAGGGGUGGAGGAGUGGAAGGCACAAACUAUUCGGUGUAAAAUGGGCUCAAGGAUGUAUUGCACAACACAGGGAAUAUAGCCAAUAUUUUGUAACAACAAAAUGUAGAUGGAAGGUAACCUUUCAAAAUUGUGUAAAUUUUUAAUUAAUUAAGGUAAAUAAAUAAAGACUUGAGUCUUCAACUCAAGGACAUUUUCUCUCUUUCUCUUUCCUUCAUCUUCUAUUCUCUAUUUCUCCCCCUCUGGAAGUUCCACUUGACAAAUAUUAAAUCUCCUGAGUCUAUCCUCUCGGGCUUAAUUUUCCUCCUGUAUUUUCCAUCUCCCAGUAGACACAGUGACCUGGGGUGUUUUUCUGAAGGCCUCUUUCCCACACCUGCAUUCAGAGUUGCCCACUCAGGCCUCUCACCCAGUAAGAGGCGGGCUGGGGAAACAGACCUACACCACCUCUGCAGGAAACAACGCAGUUUGGGAAACGUAGUUUUAUUCCAACCAACAAAAAUCUCAAAACCACUUAAAACUUCAAUGCACUUUGCCUGAGUAUUCCUACUUUGAAUAUAAGCUUUGGUUGUACACUUCUUAAUUUAGCAAAUUCUAAGCUUUGAGCUACAUAUCUGCUUUACAUUCUAAUAUUAUUCUCUACCCAUAUACUGAUGCCAGAUACACACUGAGUUAUUAUUGAUAAUAAGCUGUUCGAUACUUCCUCUAUUGGAUUCAUUCCUUUGCUGGCCUGUGUGGGUGCAAAAUAAGGUUUUACUUUUGAAAAUAUUUUCAAAUACUUGCAAUUACACUUAAACUCCAGAAUAAAUAGUUGCAGAGUGCUUUUUUUUUUUUUUUUUUAAGUAUAUCAUGAGAUGCAACAGCAUCCAAGUUUAGGCCUUUCAGAGGGCAGAACCAGCAGAAGAGAGUCCAGCUGGCUGGACUCAACUACAAGCAUUAGUUCUUCGGUGAGGGUCUCAAGGUUUUUCUAUCCCUCUCCAUGCCGUGGGGAAGGGGGAGAGGAUUAAAUCUGUAUACGGAUGCAAAAUACAAUGGUGACCUAUGAUCAUAAUUCAUAUAGCUAAUUUCAUGUACUUUGGCCAAUUGUAUCACGUUCCCAACAGGUCCAAGAAAUUUCCCCUUCUGUAACCUGAGGUGCGGGGACGCCAGGGUCGGGGCCUCCAAAGGUAACCACAGGGGUCAUUCAGAGUUGGCUUGCUCCAUCAGGACGCCGCCCCUUCUUCUCGCCUAAGUAGGAGAGGACGCCCACCAGUGAGCACCUCCCCUGAGGCCCAGCUGCCCCGCACGCUCAGGAGCCAGACCACCUUCUUCAUGUGUCCUUGGAAUGCAGUGCUGGGGCUGGGACUCCGGCCCAUUCCCGCCGGCUCGCCUUCCCUGAGUGGGAAACCCGGGCUCCACGCCCUGAAUACCCAUUAGUAGCCAAGGCUGGCGACUCUCCCGCUGGUGUGCGGGUGGCGGGCGAGGCCACUUCGCUCCUUAAAUAGCCCCUUCUCUGAGGGAUGGGGAAUAUGAAUAUGCAACACAAGUUCCUCCAGACGCCACUGGACAGGCGGCCUGUUUAAUAUUCAUGAUGCCUCUUGGGCCCUCAGGACGCUAACAAACGAAUCGCGAGAUGUUAGCGGCGCGGGCUCCACGAGGCAAGGCCUCCUCUGAUUGGUUGUUCUUAGAGGGAGGUUGCCUUCGAUUGUGGGGUGUGAAAGGUGGAGCUGCAAGUUUGGCAUAGGGCGGGAGAUUUGAAUACCUAUUUUCUGUGUUCCAGGCUGUGCGGAAGUGCUUUUUUUUUUUUUUUUUUUUUUACCAGCACUACAACCAUAAAGAACAUAUUACGAGCACUGUACUCUUAGUUUGGGAGCUCCAAUCCACUCAUUUUCUAGAUGGAGAAACUACUCCUGACUCCUAGCCCUGAGUUCGGCCACCGCCCCCGGCCGGAAGCUGAGGGGCUGGCUCAGGAUGCGAGACCCGGACCCUCCUCCUACCUCCUCCUAUUAAUUCCUCGCGGCCCGGGCAACCCCAGGAAUCUCUUGCGGCUAACUCCAUGCAGCGCCGGGCUUGUGGCUUAGUGGUCCUGGGACGGCCUGCGGCUGCGAGGGCCUGAAGGCAUCGUCCAGCCCAACAUCGCUGUACACCUGGGGAGUCCGAGACCCAGUGAGAGCAGUGCGGCCCGAGGUGGCCCAGCCCGCAGCAGGACCAAGGCCAGUCGCAGGUCUCCUGACUCCCAGCUUGGUGUCCCGCUUCUUCGUGGACUUUAGAAACCUCAAAUGGCCAAAGUACUACAACAUCCGCCCAAGUUCUUGCCCUCAGAGUGGCACAUUGCUAACAAGAACCAAUACCACAGAGCAGAGGCCCAAAGGUCCCGGUCCGAACGCCUGGUGGCAGAAAGCCAGAGGCUUGUGAAUGAAAUUGAAAAGACCACAAGAAAAUCUCAAAGUGAUGUGAACAAGAAACUAGAGCAGAGGCUUGAGGAAGUCAGGUUCUGGAAGAAGGAGUUAGAUGACAAACUUGAGCAGCUGGUGCAUGCGACCGAAAAUCUACUCAUCUAUCAGUCCAGACUGGAGAAAGCCCUGGAGAGCUUUAAAGAGCCCUUGCACAUCACUGAGAAGUGUCUGGAAUACAGGGAGAAGCGAGUUGGCAUUGACUUGGUCCACGAUGAGGUAGAGCAGGAGCUGAUCAAGGAGGCUGAGAUCAUCCGGGGGGUGAUGGCCCUGAUGACCCGCACCCUGGAGGAUACGUCUGAGCAGAUCAGGCUGAACCGCUCUGCCAAGUACAGUCUUGAAAAGGAUUUGAGGGACAAGUUUACAGCCCUGACCAUUGAUGAUAUCUGCUUCUCACUCAACAACAACUCGCCAAACAUCAAAUAUUCUGAGGACGUCGUGAGGGUUGAACCAAACUCUGUGAGUCUGGAAGACUGGUUGGACUUCUCCAACACCAACGUGGAGAAGGCUGAGAAGCAGAGGAACAACUCUCUGACGCUGAAGGCCCUCGUGGACCGAAUCUUGUCCCAGACGGCCAACGACCUAAGCAGGCAAUGUGACGUGGUGGGCACCGCAUUCAAGAAUGGGCUGAAGGAGACCAAGGACGCCAGGGACAAACUGGCUGCUCAUCUGGCCAAGGUCAUGGAAGAGAUUGCCUCCCAGGAGAAAAAUAUCACAGUUCUUGAAAAAGCCAUCCUUGACCAAGAAGGACCUGCCAAGGUGGCUCAUACACGCCUGGAGACCAGGACACAUCGGCCUAACGUGGAGCUGUGUCACGAUGUUGCACAGUACAGGCUGAUCAGGGAGGUCGACGAGAUCACCCACAACGUCGCAAGAUUAAAGGAAACAUUAGCCCAAGCUCACAUAGAGCUGCGAGGCCUGAAUCGCAGGCAGCUCGCCCUGCGGGAGGAGCUCCAAGUCAAAGAGAAUACCAUCUACAUCGAUGAAGUGCUGUGUAUGCACAUGAGGAAGUCCAUCCCUCCAAGGGGUGGGGCUGACCACGGGGAGGGGGCCGGGGGCCUUCCUCCGGACACUGUCUGCUCCAAGUAGGGUUCUCAUUAGCAUUCCCAUUAAACAGAGUCAUAAAACCGUCGAACAGAACUCUCAUUUCAGAAAUUGAUAAAAGGCCAGACGAGAAAUUCAGGCGAGGCUUUAUCGGGCCUCAUGCUGCAGCACAAGGGAGCGAAAACAAGCCACAGGUGCCCUUGCUUGAGGAGGGGCUGGCAUUCAGAUCCAUUCAGACCUUAGUCUCGGGAUUGCCAGCCUGGGAAAGAGGAAGGCGACGUUCCUGGGCUCGGUAGGACUGCACACGAUGAGGGGCGGCGAGGAAUAAUUCCCCAGUAGAAAAUCUGGAUGCUAUUGGGAAGGAGUGGAGAGAGGAAGCUCUCGAGAACUUGACCGACCCACUACAGGAAGUAACGUCAGAGAUAUGUGAGGGGGCUUCCCUGGUGGCGCAGUGGUUGAGAGUCCGCCUGCCGAUGCAGGGGACGCGGGUUCGUGCCCCGGUCCGGGAGGAUCCCACACGCCGCGGAGCGGCUGGGCCCGUGAGCCAUGGCCGCCGAGCCUGCGCUCCGCAACGGGAGGGGCCGCAACAGUGAGAGGCCCGCGUACCGCAAAAAAAAAAAAAAAAAAAAAAAAAAAAGAUAUAUGAGGCUCUCAGCACCAGGAGAAGACCGGUACCCAGAGGCAACUGGAACGCUUGUGACUGAGAUUAAAGCAGUGAAUAAAGAACUAGAUGCUGCCAGGAAAGGGGCGACGGAGGUGCUUCCUGAUUCAGGCUUUCUCGCUUUAGAAAUAUUCAGAAAAGAAACUGACCAAGUGAUGACCUCUUACUGGAGCUGAACUUCCCCAGUUCUAAGUCUGGCUCUAAGACAUACUCUUCCUCUACUGGCAAGGGGCACACAUGUGGCCUAAGCUCAGCCAGUGAGAUAACUGACCUCACGCCUGUUCAUCUGCGUGAGUGACAAGUGGGCGGAGAAUCCUGGUUCUCUUAUCCUUGAUAGAAUCCUGGUUCUAUCAGGAGACACAUCCCUGGUCCCCACUUCAAGCCGCGUAGGAUGUUUGCUGCCCUCCAGGGACUCCUAGAGGUAUGUGCCUCAGUCAGUGUUACUAGUUGUAAGCAGUAGACAUACUUCUGCCUGAAUUAAAUAGAAAAGAAAUUUAUGAAAGGUCUGUGGGCACAGAAAGUGGAUGGGUGACGUGGGGAGCUGUUCAAGAACUGCCUCAGAGGCUAUGCAUCCAGAUCUAAUGCUCAAAAUCAUGGGGCAGAAAUGUCUGGUGAAGGCACCACUGUUUCCAUCUCAUCUGGGCUUGUAUAUAUACAAGCCCCAGCUUGUAUCCCUGACACUGAACAUUAGAAGCUGUGCUGCCAUCAUUUUGAGGCUAGAAGGUGACGGUGUACUGCUAUCCCUACCAGGUAAAAACAAAAGACUUCUGGAUUCUCUGCUUAUUGGGGUAGAGAAUAGAGCAUUUGCCAGUCUGUGUUCAUGUUCCUCAAUAAAGAAAUAGCUGGAAUAGCAGCUGCAAUUUGACUUAACUCUUGUUACUACACCUACUGUAAUUUCCCAAGACCCAUCUGUCUUCUGCAUUAUACAAACCACUAAAUUAAGUUGAAAUAGGAAUCAGUACCCCUCCAUUUUUCAAGUCUUUAAUGGUAGCAUUCAUCUUUGCAAUUCUUCCAGUAUUGAUUUGAGUAUUCUGCUUAUACAGGGAGCAUUGAAGAGGGAGGCUUCCACUGGCUCUUACCACAAUGAAGGCUCUUACUCUAUGAAUCUGAGAAAUAAUGUAAAGACUCUGGUAGUUGCGGAGUAUAUUAUUCCAACUGUGUACUCAGAAAGUGUGGAAAUAGCUACAGAAUGAGUGAAGAAUUCCACCAGCUCUAUCUUGGUCAAAUUUCCCUUUAACUGUCAUAAGUCCUCAUUUUAACAGGUGGACCACAGCAAUAACGAUUUAGGUAUUAUUAGCUCAAAGCCAGCAUCUAAUAAUCCCUGAAAGAUAAAGGAAUUUGUCUUUCCCGAGUGUACAAUUACCUUAGCAAAUGGCAUACUCCCAUUCUAACACUGCCUCCGCUGUCUUUUGAGGCUGUUCCUGACUUGCUCAAAAACCCUUUUUGGUGAUAUCUGCAGCUAUAAUCACCGGGGCUGAUUUUCAUACUUUUUUUAAUACCAAUAUUCUGAUCACAUCACAGAGUCACCUUGCAAGGAAAAGCCAAUUCUUCCACCCCUACCACACUUCACUGCCUCCAAAUUUAUGAUCAGAGUCAAAUCUCAGCAUGUCCCAGGGUCCAAUUAUAAAGUCACGUGCACAUGUGCAUAUGCACACACACGGCAGGUCUGAGCCAGAGAUGAUGAGCAGGAAAGUCAGCUUGAGGGGACUGGAGAAAAGCUGACUGCUGGGCCCAUAUCCUUCCUUGCCUCUUUUUGUAGGAGCAGCCAGGGCUGCUGGAGGACAACCAACCUCUGGCUGUUCCCAGGCUCCUCACCACCCUCCCCCAGCAGAGAAGAGAUACCCAGUGAAUGCUUGGUAAAUGCACCUAUGAGGGUAUUAGUAGAAGCAGCAAUUCUCAAUUCUCAAACCUGGCUACACAUUAGAAUCACCUGAGGAGCUUUAAAAACUAUCCUGAUAACUGAGGCUCACUUCCAGAGAUACUGACUCCAUUGGUGUGGGACUGGAGAGGGGGAGGGAUUAGCACAUUGGUAUUUUUUUUUAAGUCCCUGGAAACGAUUCCAGUUGCAGAAAUCACUGAACUAGCGGGCUAGAUGAGGCAGUGGUUCUCAACCUUGGCUGCACGCUGAAAAUACCUGGAAAGCUUUUUAAAAAACUGAUGAGGGGCUUCCCCGGUAGCGCAGUGGUUAAGAACCCGCUUGCCAAUGAAGGGGGCACGGGUUCGAGCCCUGGUCCGGGAAGAUCCCACAUGCCACGGAGCAACUAAGCCCACACACCACAACUACUGAGCCUGCACUCUACAGUCCGUGAGCCACAACUACUGAAGCCUGUGCACCUAGAGCCCGUGCUCCACAACAAGAGAAGCCACCGCAAUGAGAAGCCCAUGCACCGCAACCAAGAGUAGCCCCAGCUCACCGCAACUAGAGAAAGCCCACGCACAGCAACAAAGACCCCAGCUAACCAAAAAUAAAUAAUUCAUUAAUUUUUAAAAACUGACGAAUCUCCAACCUAAAGAGUUUGAUUUAAUUUUUUAAUUGGUCUGCCUGAGUAUUAGGAGCUUUUAAAGCUUACAGGUGAUUCUAAUGUUCAGCACCAUUAGGAUAAAGUUGAGAACUUUUAAGAGAAUGGAAUCAUCAAUAUAGUCAUUGUUCUGUAAUAACUUUAAAUGGAGUAUAACCUAUAAAAAUA